UACGUAGGUGGCAAGCGUUGUCCGGAUUUACUGGGCGUAAAGAGCGCGCAGGCGGUCGUUCAAGUCGCGUGUGAAAGCCCCCGGCUCAACUGGGGAGGGUCACGCGAUACUGAUCGACUCGAAGGCAGGAGAGGGUAGUGGAAUUCCCGGUGUAGUGGUGAAAUGCGUAGAUAUCAGGAAGAACACCGAUGGCGAAAGCAGCUCUCUGGGACGGUACUGACGCUGAGGCGCGAAAGCGUGGGGAGCAAACAGG
rnacentral:rRNA from 1 species